ensembl:lncRNA
AUGUACUUGGAGAACAAUGAUAAGAAACCCACCUCAGAGGACGAGGAGCCGCCCACUCACGCCAUGGUUGCUGAUCAAUGCCAGAUGCAAGAAUCAGCUGCAGUUGUACCCAGCCUGAAAGACUUGAUGGCCUACGCCGAGCCCACGGACCCCUCUUUGCUUUGUGUGCAGUGCAACCCAGCAACAACGGAAACCUGCAUACUUUGUGAUGGAGACACGGAGCGUUCAGUUUUUGAGUCCAACCAAAGCCUCGCUGAGUGUGACAAUUUGGGGUUAAGCCAUCCAUUCGACAAACGUGCUCGACACGCCGUGUGUUUUAAGCCGUGCAAUUCCCACGAGCAGCGUGCUAAUCAUAGCUUAGCUUCUGAGUGCUGUUGCACAGGACAUCUUCAUUUAUUUCAGAGAUGCCAGUGGUCCGACCAGCAGCAGCAGCAGCAGCAGCCACCCGACCAGAUGGAGGUCAUCGGACAGUCUGGGGACUCGGACUUUAUCCCAGACUGCUCCAACAACUUUGAUUACAAGCCGUGUGAGUGCUCGGACUCUGAGGCCGACGCAUCGACGGAGGACUCUGAGAUGUCUGGCUUCACACGUCGCCUCUCUGACCCAACGGACUCGUUGGAAUGCUGCGUGUACGAAGAAGUGAACGGUGUCGCUGAAAGCUCCAGUGAGGACGACGUGGAUGAAAGCUGCAACAAUGAAGAAGAAGAAGAAGAAGAAGAAGAAGAAGAAGAAGAAGAAGAAGAAGAAGAAGAAGAAGAAGAAGAAAAGCUGGAGAGUGAAGAGAGAGAGACUCUGAGUGUUUAUUUUGAGGAGACAGAAGAAGAUCUUUACUCUGAAACGGACUCCCCCGGAGAUGACGGUGUGGACGUGAGUAAAGACUGCAGUGAUUUCUGUGACAACGAUGACGAGGACUCUGGACUGAGUCAGGAGUCGGAACCCAGUCAGGACUCUGUAGCUCUGGACCAGUGCGACUCUGAAAUCAGCUCUGAAUUCUACGCGGAGGAAGACGAUUCCUCCGAGUGCUCCUCAGGGGACGCCAAACCCUUUCAGUCUUUAAACCCUGAGGGAGAUCUGCCUCCUGAGGUUUGCUGCAGGUCCUCGGGGGAAUCGGAGGAAGGUUUGGGUGACGAUCCAAUAGAGUGGGACUCGUUUGAGGAUGAAGCCGUGAACCAAAGUCACAAGGACUUGAAGGAGACGGCAGUAGGUGAUGUCGUUGUCGAGGACUACUUUGGUCUUUUCGACAGGGCUGAAUAUUAUGAGAUGCUCUUUCCUCCAAAGAGACGUUACAUCUCCUGUUUUGACGGCGGAGACAUCGACGGCCACCUGUGUGUUGAAAAGAUUGAGGCUCUUGAAACUGCAAAUGAGGGCGAGUCACGUUGUUCUGAAGAACAAUCAGAAUUAUAUCUAGCAGAAGCCGCGGUCGAUGAUGAUGCACAGAAUACAGAAGGAGAAGAAGAUGAUGAGGAGGAGGACUUCUGCACUUUUGAUGAGCGUGCUUCAGAUGUUUGUGACGAACUCACAGAGAACAUGUGUGCUCUGUGUGCAGAAGAAAUCCACGUUGAUGCGUAUGAAGAAUCUCUGAGUGAUGAAUCUCUAGAGGAUGAAUUACAGACCCCGAGCCCUGAUAAUGACGCAGAGGAGGCUGAAGAAGACGACAUCUCUGAUGGGUUCUCAGAAAUGGAGCUGUACUGGUCCCUGGUCCUCACUGGAGAAGCAAACGCUGAGCCUUGGCAGCCAGAGGUCGAAGACUACUAUAGAUAUCACAUUUCAGGCAUCCAGGCGUCUGUGGAGCAGGCGCUAAACGAAUUACUCUGGAAAAACAUGUCAGAAGUACAGUGA